rnacentral:rRNA from 1 species
CAGCCGCCGCGGUAAAACGUAGGGUGCGAGCGUUGUCCGGAAUUAUUGGGCGUAAAGAGCUUGUAGGCGGUUUGUCGCGUCUGCUGUGAAAAUUCAGGGCUUAACCCUGGACGUGCAGUGGGUACGGGCAGACUAGAGUGUGGUAGGGGAGACUGGAAUUCCUGGUGUAGCGGUGGAAUGCGCAGAUAUCAGGAGGAACACCGAUGGCGAAGGCAGGUCUCUGGGCCAUUACUGACGCUGAGAAGCGAAAGCAUGGGGAGCGAACAGGAUUAGAUACCCGCGUAGUCCCUGUCUCUUAUAC